rnacentral:rRNA from 1 species
GCCUACGGCUAUGCCACCCUGAACAAGCCCAAUCUCAUCUGAUCUCAGAAGCUAAGCAGGGUCAGGCCUGGUUAGUACUUGGAUGGGACACCACCUAGAAUACUAGGUGCUGUAGGUG